rnacentral:misc_RNA from 1 species
GAUGAAGAACGCAGCGAAAUGCGAUACGUGGUGUGAAUUGCAGAAUCCCGUGAACCAUCGAGUCUUUGAACGCAAGUUGCGCCUCAAGCCAUUAGGUUGAGGGCACGUCUGCCUGGGCGUCACAUAUCGUUGCCUGAUGCCAGUUUCCUCGUGAUGGGGGACUGUGCAGGGCGAAUGAUGGCUUCCCGUGAGCAUUGUUGCCUCAUGGUUGGUUGAAAAUUGAGUCCUUGGUAGGGAGCGCCGUGAUAGAUGGUGGUUGAGUGACGAACGAGACCCAAUCAUGUGAGACCCCUACCGAAUUUGGCCUUCAUGACCCACAUGCGUCUUUGGAACGCUCAUGACGAGACCUCAGGUCAGGCGGGGCUACCCGCUGAGUUUAAGCAUAUCAAUAAGCGGAGGA